UACGUAGGCAGCAAGCGUUGUUCGGAGUUACUGGGCGUAAAGGGUGUGUAGGCGGUUCUCUAAGUCUGGUGUGAAAUCUCCCGGCUCAACUGGGAGGGUGCGCCGAAAACUGGAGGACUAGAGUGCGGGAUGGGAGAGUGGAAUUCCUGGUGUAGCGGUGAAAUGCGUAGAUAUCAGGAGGAACACCUGCGGUGUAGACGGCUUACUGGACCAUAACUGACGCUGAGGCACGAAAGCGUGGGUAGCAAACAGG
rnacentral:rRNA from 1 species